AAAAUUGUUACUAUUUCCAUAUAUAAAACACUGAUUUCUAAAAAUAGUAUAUCUAAACCAAAAAAAAAAAAUUUGACUUUAUUACAAGUUCAUAAAUUUAUACUCUAUUUGAUAAAGUUUUGAAAUCCGCUACUCUUUACAAGUAAGAAAGAUCAGAGAGAGACACCAAAAAGAUCAGAGAGAUACUUCAAACUGAAGAAAAAAAUUAAGGGUUUGUCUUCUUUGAUCUGUGUUCUUUAACUUUUCUUCUUUUUAUGGGUUUGGCUUUGGGACUAACCUUUGAUCUAACCUUUGGGUUUCAAGAUUCUUGAAAAGCUAAUGAAGCUUUGUUGAAUUUGAAAAGGAAAC
rnacentral:lncRNA from 1 species